GAGUAACCCAAUAGUGAGGAAGAAAUUGAUGCUGCAGGAGAGAGGGAAUAAUUGCCGAAGCAAAGAUCUUGAGGUACUGAGAAAGGAUGACCCUAAUUUCCUUAAUGCUGCACCAUAUGAUCAGGACGACAGGAGUUGAUUGACCUGCAUCAAACAUUACCUACUAGUCUCCCUCACACAAAACAAAGUAAAAGAGGAGAAUUGGAAGAAAGCAAUACCACUGCAGCCACACUGGGUGCAAGCUUUGAGAAUUCUGGGACUUUGUACACGAGUGAACCAGAGAGAACCUGUGGUGUGCUGGGAAAACCCAUAGGCCCUGCAGAAACAUCUAAUUAGUGUUGAUUUUGAGUAGAGGUUCUCUCUGAGAUACUUCAUCUGCAAAACAAGGAAUGAUACCAGUUCCCUUCCAGGGAUGCCAUAGAAUCGAAUGAGAGUGAUUUAAGCAUAAUACUCACUCAUGGCCUGCUUCCACUGAGGGACUGGAGGCUCCUUGAGCAAAAUUAUCUACCUCUUCACCUUUGGAUCUUUCACAGUUCCCAGUUCGGUGUACUACAGAUUGUACUUGCUAAAUAAAAAAUCAUUGUCAUGGUUUACCUAAAUGCCUGAAGUGUUAAUAAUAAAAAAAAAACCCUUUAUUCCCUCCCAUACACUUUAUAAAUCUACAGGAUUAGAGAAACAGAAUCAUCUAGACAUUUCUGGUGGUAAUGGAAAAUUGUUCAACCACUCUGGAAAAUUGUUUGGCAUUUUCCUAUAAAACUAAACAUGAAAUUACCAUAUGACCCAGAAAUUGCACUCCUGGGCAUUUAUCCCAGAGAACUGAAAACUUAAGUUCACACAAAAAACUUGUAUUAUCCAUGUUUUCAAGUUUCUGUAUAUGAUGUUUUGACAUCUUAGGCCUUGUUAGUAGGAAGAGACUGCCCCUCCCACAGGUUUAGCAGUUGGAAUUCCUAGAGUUAGCAGAAGGCUUUUUGACUCUCAUUAGAGUGUACCUUUCAUAUGUGUGUUAGUCCCUUUUCACGCUGCUAUUGUCUGUAUCAGCCCAUUUCACGCUGCUAUAAAGAAUAUCUGAGACUAGGUAAUUUACAAAGGAAAGUGGUUUGACUCACAGUUCCGCAUGGCUGGGGAGGCCUCAGGAAACUUACAAUCAUGGUGGAAAGUGAAAAGGAAGCAAGGCACUUCUUAUACAGUGGAAGGAGAGAGAGAGUGAACAAUGCAAGUACCACACUUUAAAACCAUCAGAUCUCGUGACAAUUCACUCGCUAUCACAAGAAUAGCAUGGGAGAAAUCACCCCCAUGAUCCAAUCACCUCCCACCCAGACCCACCCUCAACUUGUGAGGAUUACAAUUUGAGAUGAGAUUUGGGUGGGAACACAAAGCCAAACCAUAUCAAUAUGUAAACAAACUGAUCCAAAAUCCACACCCCUGACCUGCCUGUUCUUUCAGGGGUUCUUACUCUUGUAAGACACUAUUCACCUGCCCUAAUCACCCCAAGACUAAGCAUCAGCCAGCUUCAACACCCUGAAGCAUACUGAAAUUAUUCAUAUUAGCCAAGAGUUCUAAACUUGCUUAGCCCAUUUGCUUUAGAGCAAAUGACCCAUUUCUUCCAAGAAAACUAUAGUAAAAGCUUUCCUGAAGUUUCCCUUGCUCUCUCUUUGCCUGCAACUGAUGUUGUUGUUCUCUAGUAUGGUCCUGUGAGGAAUGACACUCUACCCUCCUCUUGGGAACUUUGAAUAAUAAACUUUCUAAUGGCAAUGUCUCCUGAUCUGUUGGGCUCAUCAUACCUGAAUAAAGACAAAACCCCAGGUAUAUUUUAAUAUAAAUCUGCACAUGAAUCUUCACAGUAACUUUAUUCAUAGUAGCCAUAAAACUGGAAAUAACUCAGAUAUCCUUCGAAGAUUGAAUGGUUAAGCAAACCACCAUAUCCAGCCAUGGAUUAUUACUCAACAAUAAAAAGGAACAAACUAUUGAUACAUGUAACAAUUUGGGCGAAUUUCCAGAAUUACUCUGAAUGAAAAAAAAAAAAAGCCAAAUCUAAAAGGCUACAUACUAUAUGAUUCCCUUUACAUAACAUUCUUGAAGGGACAAAAUUAUAGAAAAGAAGAGAUUAGUGGUUGCCAGGGCAUGGGCAGGGCAGAAAAGAGGUGGAUGUGAACGUAAAGAGCAGCAUGAGGGAUUUCUGUGGUGAUAAAACUGUUCUGUAUCUUGACUGUAUCAACACCAAGAUCCUAGGUAUAAUAUUGUAUUAUAUCUCGGAGAAAUGUUACCACUGGGUGAAAUUGAGCAAAGGGUAGACAAUUGUAUGUGAAUCUGCAAUUAUUUCAAAAUAAAAAUUGUAAUU
ensembl:lncRNA novel transcript